AGCUUUGCUCAGCAGCAGUAUUGUAGCCAGUGAGGUUUCACCAAGGCAGAAUAAUUGCUAUUUGAAAGACAUUUAUUUUGGCUCCUGGUUCUGGAGGCUGCAAAGUCCAAGAACACAGUGCUGCAUCUGUGUAGCUUCUGGUGAGGA
rnacentral:snRNA from 1 species